rnacentral:rRNA from 1 species
UACGGAAGGGGCAAGCGUUGUCCGGAAUUAUUGGGCGUAAAGCGCGCGCAGGCGGUCCUUUAAGUCUGAUGUGAAAGCCCUCGGCUCAACCGAGGAAGGUCAUUGGAAACUGGAGGACUUGAGUGCAGAAGAGGAAAGUGGAAUUCCAAGUGUAGCGGUGAAAUGCGUAGAGAUUUGGAGGAACACCAGUGGCGAAGGCGACUUUCUGGUCUGUAACUGACGCUGAGGCGCGAAAGCGUGGGGAGCAAACAGG